CGAGCAUGUGAAUGUGAGCGAAUCCCAAAAAUAACGUCUCAGUUCGGAUUGUAGUCUGCAACUCGACUACAUGAAGCUGGAAUCGCUAGUAAUCGCGAAUCAGCAUGUCGCGGUGAAUACGUUCCCGGGCCUUGUACACACCGCCCGUCACACCAUGGGAGUCGGUAACACCCAAAGUUGGUAGUCUAACCGCAAGGAGGACGCCGCCUAAGGUGGGAUUGAUGACUGGGGUGAAGUCGUAACAAGGUAUC
rnacentral:rRNA from 1 species